CUGGCUUCACACUUGGCAGCACCUUUGUUUCACGUUCUGUGUGUGAUUCACCAUAAAGAUAGGGAAAAAACCCACAAAUUUAAAUAGCUUCCAGAAAGGUUAAGAGCAACAGAAAAAAAAAAGAAAAAAAAACCCCAAACAACAACAACAAAAAAAGCAGCUUAGCAAAACAGUGAUUUGCAGAGAGCUCCAGGGAAGAACUGCAGCUUGAGGAGGUUGGAGACAUCAGAGUGUGGAAAUGAAGCCCUCGGGAUUCAGUAUGAGAUGCAGACAAGUAACCCUGUCUAUGGCCCUCUACAGUCCAUGGGGAUCUAAGGAACAGAGAAGUUCAGCUGCACAGCCAAAGGGGAUUCAGGCAGACAAGCAAAGCAUUUCAUGAUCCAGAUCUCAGCUGCCUGAUGGUGUUUGAAACAGCACUGGCCACCCCUGCUCAGACAGCACUGACAAACUGCUCUCCAGGUUGGGUAUGGUGAGAGCUGAGCCAGCCAGCUUACAUGCAGACAUCACCAUUUUUACUGUUUAGAGCUGAAUUUCACACUUUGCUUAGGCUGCCUUCUGUUUGCCAACCCUUCUCCUCCCAUUCUUUUGCAGGAAAUGCUUCACAUCCUGGUUCCCUUGCCAUGUUGUGCAAAAAGGUUGGCUGCUUCAAAAUGUGUUGCCUUUAGAUAUUAUCUUUUGCCAAUAUUUGCUUAAGAUAAGACAGGGUAUUAGCAAUUACAUAAAAAACCAGUUCUGUAAAGCAGCUGAUCCACUUAGGUUAUUGUGAAAUUCAUAGCUAUCUUCUAAAACUUGAAUUUCAUUGUUGUGGAGGACCACUUGUUGUGGGUUUGUUGGUUUUGGGUUUUUUUGGUUGUUAGUUUGUUUGUGGGUUUUGUGGGUUUUUUUGUGGAGAGAGUUUUUGUGUGAUUGAUUUUUUUUGUUGUUGUUGUUGUUGUGGGGUUUUGUUUUGUUUUAAUUUUAAUUAGGAAAUUGUUCAGGAGGAACAAUGUAUCCACAUAGUUACUUAAAACAAAAAUGGAUUUUGUAUUAUAAUUCUCAUUUGACUAUUACAUUUCUUGGGGUCAGCUGUGUGAGAGCCAAUGAGAGACACAAAGAUCUGAACUAGAAGUCUGAACUGUCCUCCAGCAAAGCAGAACAACAGGAAAAUUAUAGGUUUGAUUUAGCAUUUUGAGUGCAAUUCAAGUCUGACAGAAACAAGUGGCAAGAGAUCAUUAACUGAAAUGGGAAUGGCAUGCAACCUGCUCAUUUUAGCUCCAAGUUUUGAAGCUUUGAAGUUUGAAGUGCUUGAAUGAAUAAUGUACUUUUUUAUUUCAACAGCUUUUUUUUUCACAGAAACAAAAGAGAAUCCCUCUCUGUCUUAAGUAAUGGCUUUUAAUAAGGCCAGCUGAAAUAUUUAAUAAACCUAAACCUGAUUUUUUUAAGAAUUAGAA